UACGGAGGGUGCAAGCGUUAUCCGGAUUCACUGGGUUUAAAGGGUGCGUAGGUGGUUGGGUAAGUCUGAUGUGAAAUCUCCGGGCUCAACCCGGAAAUGGCAUUGGAUACUAUUCGGCUAGAGGUUUGGAGGGGGACUGGAAUUCUCGGUGUAGCAGUGAAAUGCGUAGAGAUGUGGAGGAACACCGAUGGCGAAGGCAGCCCCCUGGGUCAAGACUGACGCUCAUGCACGAAAGCGUGGGGAGCAAACAGGA
rnacentral:rRNA from 1 species